AGUCAGAAUUGUGAUCUCAUGCAACUAGUAUAUAUUGUACUUAUAAAUACGGUAUAUAAAUAAAGUACUUUUUGUGGACAUUGGGGGGUCGCUGAAGACUUUAUCAGUGAGUUUUUGUUCUCGGAAGGACUAGAUAUGAAUAUUGAAUAAUCAGACAUAGUACGAAAAGGUUGUAUGUCUAAAGGGAAACAGCCCAGAACAAGAGUUAAUAAGGUUCCAAAAUUAUUGUUAAGUGAAAUUAAGGCAGUAUUUAUUCUAAACAGCCAGGCAAUAGGCUUAGAAGCGGCCAUUUUCUUAAGACCUCGUAACAGAGCACUGGUUUUAUUUAUAAUAAGGAUAAAAGCACCGAUAAUUUAACGGAUCUAAACAAUAUACCGAGACCUUGUCUAAAUAUAUUAAUGUUUACAUACAUUACAUCGUAUAUUUAGGGUAGCAGAACGUUGGUUAGGUAUAUUAUUACGCCUUUAUAAGGCAUAUAAGGCAUAUAUAUGUAUAUAUAUAUAUGCCGUUACAAACCAAGUGAUAAUGCUGACAUGAGUAACGAUAAAGGGGCAUACCCUCGCCUAAAGCUUAUGGAAUUUAAUUAAAGUUACGGCCUCUAAGUUUAUUAUAUAUUUAAUGAAUAAUCUGUUAUUCAUUAAAAAUCCCAAAAGGGGUAAACGAUGAGCAAAUCUAGGAUUUAUAGAACAUAACAUUUUUGCAUAGUGACAAAUGUUCUGGAAAACUAUAGAUCUCAUUUGCUAAAUAGUAAUAAACUAAAUCAGAUGACAUGUUUAGCAAAUGUUUUACCGUACCUAACUACUAACACAAGUAAGCAAGUAGAGUAUACGAAGGCGUUCGAGUGAACAAUCAUUA
rnacentral:rRNA from 1 species